rnacentral:misc_RNA from 1 species
UUAACUAUUAUAUAGUACUCAGACGUCAUAAAACAAAAGAGUUUGGGUCCUCUGGCGGGCACGGUCAGCCGGAGCCGACGCCGUAAGGCGACCCGCCAAAGCAACAAAGAAGGUAGACACGGGUGUAAGUAUGCAACCCAAAGACUAUGUUACCAUAGCCACCGCGAACCCCCGUCAACUGACAACUUAAUCACCCUCGAAAGUAGUGUUCGGCACAGUCAGUGCAGAGAUCCAGCCAGCCCGUCCAUUACGACGUAUAACUCACUGCUAACACGUGGAACUUGUCCUACCCGUAGAUAGGAUUGACUUAUUAAUGAUCCUUCCGCAGGUUCACCUACGGAAA